UACAGCCAUCAGUCGGUUGUAAACAUUAAAAUUGCUAAGUUUUGGUCUCGUUAUACCCUAGGGGAACACAACUAUGGACAGAAGCGGAAAGGAUUUUAAACUUCUCAGCACAUUCUUCCUUCUGAGUCUCGCCCUUUCGAACAAAGUAUCUGCCUCAUCAGAUCUUAGGCAUCCGUGCAACUCUCCGUGCCUUUUGAUCUCAACUCCAACACGCAUAUUGGCUGUAGACUACGGUAACCAGUCAAGUUUUGCAGUCAUUUCAAAUUUGUCAAAUGCCAAUGGUUAUUACGUAGACGUUCAUUACAAGCUGGGCUACUUAUUUUGGAGUGAUCGAACAGAACGUAAAAUCAAGCGCUCGAAUAUGGACGGUACAAAUAUUACAGUUAUCCACAAUGACACGAACUGUGUGGGACUAGCAGUGGAGUGGAACUCGAUGCGGUUGUAUUGGACGGAAAAUAUCAAAAAAACAAUAUCGGUAUCAGACUUGGAGGGAAACAACAGAAAUAUUGUCCUUUCUACAACAGACUACCCAAGAGGAAUUGCUGUUGACCCGCAGCAGGGGUUAAUGUUUUGGGCAGCCAUGUCGAAAAUCGAAAAAUCAAAUUUGGACGGAACACAGCGUGAUAUUAUAGUAUCAUCAAAUCUCUCAAGUGCGCAUAGUAUCACUGUGGAUAGAAAACGAAAGCGUGUUUUUUGGGUGGACUAUAUUAAGGAUCAAAUAGAAUCUGUUAACUAUAGUGGCAGCAACAGAGUACUACUGAGUCGGAUACAAGGCGUAAUUAACUUGUUUGGAAUUGCUUUCACGUCCUCAUUUUUAUUCGUUGGUGAAUGGCAUGGAAAUACCGUUUUCAAAGUGAAUGCGUCCAAUGGAACAGUUGUCAGUAGUGUUCAAUUUGCUUCGUCCGCCCCAUCCGGAUCUCGUGGAAUCUAUGGAUAUGACAGCACUUUGCAGCCACCAGCAACGUGUCCGGCGUUACCAGCACCGACUGAUGGAGCAAUACUUGGAUGCCCAAGAAACGCAAGUGUAAAUUAUGAUACAGUCUGUCAGUUCUUGUGUAACAAUCGCUACUUAGGUCAUGGUUCUCAAGAAAGAAGAUGUUUACUCAACGGAACCUGGAGCGGACAAGAGUUUGUUUGUCAAAGUAAGUAGCAGUAUAUUCACUUUCUGAUGAUACUGCGUAUGAUGGCUAAGGAGAGAAGAUCACACCUCAAUAUUUCCUAAACCACCUCUUAGCUCAACUUCCUCCCAACAUGAAAAUGGCCAUUGACGCUUUCCGCUAAGCCAAUCAGACUGCAAAAUUUCGAUCGGCUAAAUUUUGAGUAUCAAAUAGUGCGGAGUAAUGUUGUCUGUUGGUUCAAAAGUCAGGAAAUGUACAAAGAAUGGAACCUGGAGUGGUAUGGACCUUGUCUGUACAGGUAUAAGAUUUCCGAACACUUAGUACUGGCGAGUGUUGCUCCUCUGUCCUAGUGAUGAACUUGGAAGACGAAUCAGUCUAAGAUCCUCACUAGUCUAAGGUUGUCUGCGAUUGUAGAUUGCGAUUGUUGAUCUAACAUCGUGGUGACAAUCAUUUUCCUCAUGGUUACGCGGUAUAUCUAAUGUGUGUUUGUUUCUGGAUCAAUCGAUCUAUGUUUAAAGAACUCAGAUGACUUACGGUUUAACAUCAUGAAUUGAUAAAAGAUCGUAAGUAGUCUUUUCAAGGUUUGUAGCGAUUGUAGAUAAUGAUUGAUCUAACAACAGCUUAGUAAUCUUGUGUUUGAGUCUGAGCAGCCGAGCCAAUGCAUCGGCGCUCGGAUCAGUCGAUUUACGACCGUAGAAUGGAUCGUCACUGUCUCUAAAUGUUCAAGACUCAGUAACGAUACAUUUGUCUUAUGCCCCGUAUUCACUUUUAUCAAUGAUUUUGAUACUGAACAGGGAGAUGACACCUGCUUGUCCGAUGUAUCUUAAUUAUAAAUACUAAUCCCAUGUUGAGCCUGUUCGUUUAGAGCGUUGAUCUUUGUUACGAUGCGGUUCAUGAUACCAUCAGUAGGCAUCUUAAGGCCUUUGAUCCAGACCGAGAAGCUGCGAAGUCACCAUACAUCGGCAGAGAUUAAACUGACGAUGAUAAGUGCAGACAUGAGAUUCACUUGAUGCAGACGAUAACUCACGGUCGAACAGUUUGGACAUGAACCUCGAGGACGUGGAAUUGAAUCAGAUGUUCUCUUCUUGUCUAUGCGCAGAGAUCUAAAGAAGUCUAUCCCAAAAGAUAUGAUGGGACCACUAUCUUCUCUUGGUUUCUUGCUUUACGUUUGGAACUCUAAAAUGGUCUCUUCUAAGGAUGGAUGAAUUUGCAAUGAUCUACCAACUGAAAGGCAGAAUGGAUCAUGUGCAAAAUAAAAAUAUUACUGCUUCAUAGAUUUAUUAUACUGUAGAAUCCCCGCCAGUUCAAAAUCCCAAGGGAAACAAAAUAUAGUUCGAACUAGCGACGGUUCGAGUCAGCUGAUAGUAAAUGACUGAAAAAAUAAUUUAAGGAAAAUCGAAUCUUAUUCGCGUUACCGGAGUCGGGUUCAAGUAAACUGAGUUCGAAUUGGCGGGGUUCUACUGUAUAUCAGUUCUAUAUAUGUAACUGUUAAGGUAAAACGCGUAAUGCUACUUUUGUUAAUAUUUACAACAACAGUUACGCUGUAAGGCACCUAAGAAAUAGGAAUGAACUUUUUUUAAUGUAUAGGCUACUACUGGAACUAGAGAACAAUAUCUAUUACUAAAAAGAUGCGUAUGGGAGAAAAACGAAUGUGAUUUAUCGAUUCAGGUGAUUUAUCGAUUCAGAUAAUUUAUAAGUCAAUAUCUAAAAUUAAACCUUCAGUCAUGGUGAUCAAUCUGAAUACAAAACAAGGUUGACCAUCAUUUUAACAUACUGGCUAAAUUAUAUAAAUGCUUUUACCUUUUGGAAAAA